rnacentral:rRNA from 1 species
GGACUACAGGGGUUUCUAAUCCUGUUUGCUCCCCACGCUUUCGCGCCUCAGCGUCAGUCAAGGACCAGGUCGCCGCCUUCGCCACCGGUGUUCUUCCCAAUAUCUACGAAUUUCACCUCUACACUGGGAAUUCCACGACCCUCUUCCUCACUCAAGUCUGCACGUAUCAAAUGCAGCCCCCAGGUUAAGCCCAGGAAUUUCACAUCUGACUGUACAAACCGCCUACGCGCCCUUUACGCCCAGUCAUUCCGAGCAACGCUAGCCCCCUUCGUAUUACCGCGGCUGCUGGCAC